rnacentral:rRNA from 1 species
AGGGCACAUAAUGGAUGCCUAGACGUAUAUUACCGAUGAAGGACGUGGAAGACUGCGAUAAGCUUCGGGUAGCUGUCAACAAGCUUUGAUCCGGAGAUUUCCGAAUGGGGAAACCCAACACGAGUCAUGUCGUGUUACCCUUGUCUGAAUACAUAGGACAUGAGGCGGGAACCAUCUGAACUGAAACAUCUUAGUAGGAUGAGGAAAAGAAAGUAAAUAACGAUUACGAAAGUAGUGGCGAGCGAAAUCGUAAGAGCCCAAACCUUAUAGAUUUUUAUUUAUAUAAAUAAGCUGAUAGGCGAAUAUCUAUGAGGGGUUGUGAUAUCACAUAUGACCAAGUCAGAGCAUUUGAUUAGUUCAAAUAAUCUGAUUUGCGAUAAUUGUCUAUCAACAAUUAGUAAGGUAAGAAAAUUGCGUGGUUAGCAGAAUAGUUUGAAUGACUAGCCAAAGAACGUGAAAGCCGUGUACGCGAAAACGACGCUGACCUUAUGUAUGUUUUAUCGAGUAGGACGGGGCACGAGAAACCCUGUUUGAAUCUGGCUGGACCACCAGCCAAGGCUAAAUAUAAUAUACGAUCGAUAGUGAACUAGUACAGUGAUGGAAAGGUGAAAAGAACCCCGGGAGGGGAGUGAAAUAGAUCCUGAAAUUUAGUGCCUACAAGGAGUCGGAGCCGGCUUGUCCGGUGACGGCGUGCUUUUUGUAGAACGAUCCAGCGAGUUAAUUUCGUGCGCAAGGUUAAGUUAGUUAACGGAGCCACAGUGAAAGCGAGCCUGAAUAGGGCGUUUAGUGUACGGAAUUAGACCCGAAACCGGGUGACCUAACCAUGAGCAGGUUGAAGCUACUGUAACAGGUAGUGAAGGACCGAACCAGGAUACGCAGCAAAGUGUUUGGAUGACUUGUGGUUAGCGGUGAAAUGCCAAUCGAACUCGGAGAUAGCUGGUUCUCCUCGAAAUAGCUUUAGGGCUAGCGUCAUGUUAGUAAUGUAUGGGGGUAGAGCUCUGUAAAGGAUUGGGGCGGGCAACUGUACCCACCCUUAACAAACUACGAAUACCAUAUAUGUAAUCAUGGCAGUUAGAACAUCGGUGCUAAGAUCGGUGCUCAAAAGGGAAACAGCCCAGACCAUCAUCUAAGGUCCCUAAAUAUACAUUAAGUGGGAAACAAGGUGAAAUUUCUUAAACAGCGAGGAUGUUGGCUUAGAAGCAGCCAUUCAUUUAAAGAGUGCGUAACAGCUCACUCGUCAAGAGAUUUUGCGUGGAAAAUGUAACGGGGCUAAAUGUAUUACCGAAGAUAUGGAUUAUUACAUUAGUAAUAGUGGUAGAGGAGCGUUCCUAUCAGCAGUGAAGCAGUAUUGAAAAGUAUUGUGGAGCGGUAGGAAGUGAGAAUGCUGGAAUGAGUAACCAUAAGAUAGGUGAGAAUCCUGUCGGCCGUAAGAGCAAGGUUUCCUGAGCUAUGGUAAUCAUCUCAGGGUUAGUCGGGCCUAAGCCGAGGCGCAGAGCGUAGGCGAUGGACAUCAGGUUAAUAUUCCUGAACCGGUUAAGUUUUGUACACUGUUCACGGGGAAGUAAUCGAAGCGGAUUCAUGGUUUAUCCGUCCAACCGAGCGGGAACGCAAAGGGAGUGAAAGUGAUUCUUCGGAGUCGCGAUUUUGGUGAAAGCCCUGGCUAGAAAAGCAGGUGUACGCGUGGACUUAGCCGCCCGUACCGCAAACCAACACAGGUGCUCGAGUCGAGUAGACUCAGGCUUACGAGCGAACCUUCGCUAAGGAACUCGGCAAUACAGCGACCGUAACUUCGGGAUAAGGUCUGCCCCCACUUCGGUGGAUAUCAGCCGCGUUCACUCAGUGAAUAAUAGGUUAAAGAGUACAUUUUUAAUCACAAAACGAAUUUUCUGAGACACGAGCAAACAAAUUGCUCUUUGAACGCGAACCUCUUGUAUCUAACGAUGUGGGGGCCGCAGCAAAAGAGCCCACGGAACUGUUUAUCAAAAACACAGGUCUCUGCUAACACGAAAGUGGAUGUAUAGGGGCUGACUCCUGCCCGGUGCCGGAAGGUUAAGGGGAGUGCUUCACGGUGCAAACUGAAGCCCCGGUGAACGGCGGCGGUAACUAUAACCGUCCUAAGGUAGCGAAAUUCCUUGUCAGGUAAGUUCUGACCCGCACGAAUGGAGUAAUCAUGUGGGCACUGUCUCAGCGAAGGACUCGGUGAAAGUGCAUUGGCGGUAAAGAUGCCGUCUGUCCGUACCAGGACGAAAAGACCCCAUGGAGCUUUACUACAGCUUUACAUUGAAUACGGUUUCAACAUGUGUAGCAUAGGUGGGAGACGUUGAAGCAGAUACGCCAGUAUUUGUGGAGUCACCAAGUGAAAUACCACCCUUGUUGUGAUUGUGUUCUCACGCUGACCGUUAUCCGGUUAGCGGACCGUGUAUGGUGGGUAGUUUAACUGGGGCGGUUGCCUCCUAAAGAGUAGCGG